UGGCUUCCUGCAGGAUUCAGCUGUGGAGACUGAAGCCGGAGGGCCUGGGGGGAGCCGCAGGAAGCGGGUGGGCGGGGGCCGUCUGCCCCUGGACACUCAGGACAGCCUGGCUCACCACGGGGGAGGAGAAGCCAAUGGAGACAGCGGGGACCAAGAGGGAGGGGGUGGAUGGGGAGCCUGGGGAGGAGCGGAGGGACCCAGGUCCCCUGCCUUACAGGACGACCAGCACAGGUUCCAGGUCUCCAGCCAGCUACAGGGCUUCUUAACACACAGCACUCCCUGCUUCGAGCCUUCCGGGAGGCCCCCAAUCCAGGAUCAAGACCCAGCCCCGUCACGGCCUGGCUCACGAGGCCCCACUUCAACUGCCCCUGACCUCUCUGCGCCCCCUGCUCCCGCCAGCCCUGCCGGCCGCUGCCCUGGAGAAGGAGCUGCAGAUGGAUCCCCAGUGAGUAGGAGGCAGCCGUGUGAGUCAGGCAGCGGAGGGAACGGGCUGCAUCGCGGAGAGGAGGUGCGAAGCAGCGCGCCGUUUCCGGGCUCUGGAAGCCGAGCUGCCGAGGCGCUCGAAUUGAGCGGCUGCCUCAUUCAGUCCAUGUCUCGGCCUGACUACAAUGAUGAAGCGAUGGAAGGCAGAGUGGAUUGAAAGGGAGCGAGGCUCAGCGGGGAACCUCAGAUUGCCAUUCGCAGACCACAGGGAGCCCAGAAUGGGUCCCUGCUCGGGAGGAGAGAAGGGAAACAAGAUUGACAGCUCCUGGCCUUUGACCUUCACCAAUACUGUCCAGCUUGGCACUUGAGUGGGUUGCCACCAUUGUGAAUUGGGCCUUGCCUGCAUUCUCAGUAGGCUGGGUUCCAGACAUUUGAGGUCUCAGCCAUAGACUCUGCUGGGAACGUGGAGGCCGGGGAGAUUCUGUCCCACCUGGUCCCUCUGAAUGAGCCAGGCACCCCUUGGAGGAAGUGACAGGCCAGCCCCAGGCAUGCACUCCACUGGUAUGUUUAGCCCCAAAUCCUCCUCUUGCCCCAUUUACCACCUUUCUCUGGGUGCCACCCUUGGGCCAUCCUCAUCCCUGACUGAUGACUAUUCAAGACCACUUUCUCUGCCUCUAGUGGAGCGUGUCAGAACCCAGCCUGUGACCCCACCCCAUCAUCUUAGAAGCAAACUCUUUCUAGCACCUGUACCAGGUGCUGGAGCAAGCCCUGAGUUUAGUUCAUGUAAUCCUGACAACCACCCCAUAGGUCAGAUGGGGAAACCAAGGCAGGAAGCAGGCACAUACCCUGUGAGUGGCUGGACCCAGGCACUAACCCCCAGCCCCACACUCCUAGCACCCUGCUGUCUCUUGGUGACAUGUGAGUAUGUCAAUCUGAACAUGCUUGAAAUGAAUAUUUGUCAAUAAUUUUACCAGACA
ensembl:lncRNA novel transcript